AACGCGAAGAACCUUACCAGGGUUUGACAUCCUGCGACCGCUCCCUAAUAGGAGUUUUCCCGCAAGGGACGCAGAGACAGGUGCUGCAUGGCUGUCGUCAGCUCGUGUCGUGAGAUGUUGGGUUAAGUCCCGCAACGAGCGCAACCCUCGCCUUUAGUUGCCAUCAUUCAGUUGGGCACUCUAGAGGGACCGCCGGCGACAAGCCGGAGGAAGGUGGGGAUGACGUCAAGUCCUCAUGGCCCUUACACCCUGGGCUACACACGUGCUACAAUGGCGGUGACAGUGGGCAGCUACUUCGCGAGAAGCGGCUAAUCCCAAAAAACCGCCCCAGUUCAGAUUGUACUCUGCAACUCGAGUACAUGAAGGUGGAAUCGCUAGUAAUCGCAGAACAGCAGGCUGCGGUGAAUACGUUCCCGGGCCUUGUACACACCGAGACGAC
rnacentral:rRNA from 1 species